GGGAGGAGAAGAGAAGGGGUGAGCCCUCUCAGUGGCAAAUUUGCAGGUUGGCCUGGCCACACAAAGAGACCCACUUUCAAAAAAGCCUCCACCCGCCGGGAGCUUGCUGGUUUGAGAGGCAGGCUGGAGAGCCCACCUGAGCAAAUGGACUUCUGUUCCAGUUCAUGUAGCGUUCAUUCUGAGUCCAUCGUCUCAGGGACGAACCACAUGGUAUGUUGGAGCAAUGCGAG